GAGAGAGCACUCGCGCUCACCGACUUGUGGGGAACUCACACCUGACAAAGGACCUUUCUUAUGGGGAAAGUUCAGAAUUGUGGGGAACUCUCUCGUUCCCCACAAAUAUGGUCAUGGGGUUUUUUGAAUUCUACGUGUUCUACUGAUAAUAUUUAUUCGAUUUGUGGUCAUUUUUGAAAAAAUCCCCAUAAGUCCGUAAAAUUGACUCGCAGUAAUUUUCUCACUGCACCGUAAAACGAAUGUUUGAGGAUGCUGGGAAAUGUUCAUUCGGAACGCAGCGGAAUUUAAACUGGUCCCCAUAUGAUACCAAUUUAUUGCGGGCAAUGGCUGCUCCGAGAAUAUGUGGUAAGUUUUCGGGUUUUCACCACAAGAGCAAAUUAUACAACUUUAUUCUUGAAAAUGUUAGAGACUGAGACUUGGAGUCAAAGUCAACAGACACGCUUGCAUGGACAUGAAGGAUGUAAAGAACUAGAGUAUUAUAACUGAAAGCAUUUUGUCUGGAUUUGUGUAUGGAAACAGAAGGAUUUAGUAUUGGUAUCCUGAAUUUUUGUCAACUUCUAGCCAAGAUCCUGUACUUAAGCUGAAUGUGGAGGACAGAUGUACACACAGUACUAGUAUAGAGGGUAUUAUCUCGGUACCUUAAAACUCCAAACGACAGGGAGAAGAAGAAAACUGCAUAUUUCCGAUGUAUCUUCACAGCAACAUGACCCAAAGCACUACCAUUAAAGGAUUUGAUUUGACAUUAAGGAAGUAAAAAAAUGAAGGCAUUAGUCAUAAAGAAAAUUAAAGAACUUUAUGUCUGAAUAUUAUAUCAACAAUACCAUAGAUCUAAAGAUGGAUUAUUUUGCCUUAUAAUUUAUAUUAAUGCAUGUACAUGUAAUUUUAUUCUUUUUAUAUAUACAAUCAUGUAGUGUUACCAUUUUUCACAAAGCUUAAAAAGUUAUGUAGGGCCACACCAAUUUAAUUUCUUGUUCGUCGGACAUUUGAUUUAAAAAAAGUACAAGCAGUUAAAUGAUAAUAUUAUUACUCUUUGCUGGGCAAUUUUUUAGGCGGAGCGUGAAAAUUUGAGCGGACAAUUAUAUUUUUUCUGAUUUACAGAGUAAGCAGAUAUAAAAUACAAUAAAUAGAGCGGAAAUGGAACAGAAAAUAGCACAGAAUUCCUAUGGUGCGAGAAAUUGAAAUUAAUAUUAUUUGUAUGGUUUUGUUUAAAUAAGCGCGUGGGUCCGACGAACAAAAAUUUUCAUUAGUGUGGCCUAGAUCAUUUAGAUUCAAUUCAUUUUUUUCUUCAAAUUACCACAUGCCAGAAUUCAUAAGAAGGAAAUUUAUAUAUGGCUGGUGGUUGUGGCCAUUUUUAGACUAUAUUGAUCUCCUUUAGAAGGAGAGCUCCUUAUAAAAUUAUACAAAAAAUGACCAAAUUUUAAAACUAAAAUGUACAGAAUUUUUCUUUGCCAAAUGAUAGUUCAUAGAACCACAAUUCUUCAAUCAUGUCUACUUGGAGAUCAGUGGAUGGAUAUUCAUAUACAAUACACAGCUGAAGCAGGUUUUGUUAGGUUAUUUUAUUUUCAAAAGGAAUGCAUUAUUUUCUUCAGUCCAUUAAUGUUAAGCUCUUUAAUAGAAACAAUUGUAGAAGAUUUAUCAUAUUUUGUUUAGAAUUUUGAAGAAUUUGUUAAUCACUCAGUGAAAAUUAUCCCUUGUCAUAAUACAAAUUUUUAAAAUGUAUGUACAAAUACUUUUAUGUUGAAAUGACCAUGCAAGGAAGAAAAUAAAACAAGUUUAAGUGUA